CGCAAGAGAUGUAUCGAACCUCCUUAAGUGAGCUAUUAGGUAAACUUCAAGCUUUUAAAACUGAAUUAUUUUGAAAAAUUUUUAGUGGUUGAAUACUCUAAGAAAAAUCUUAGGCUAUAUAGAUAUAUUACAAUUAAACACCAAUAAAGUAUAAUUAAUGACAUUGUUGACAACAAAUUUUCAGUUUUGCAGUUUUAUUUUAUGGGUAUAUAUUUAUACUCUAUUAUAAAGGUAUUAAGGCUGGCAUUUUAUAGACAAGAAAUCACACUUUUAGUAAGACAAUGAUAGAACAAGGGAAGUGUCAAAGCAACUAGAGCAACCUCUUUUAAUUUUUUGCAUAGAAGGAUCACGGAGAACAUAUAAACAUCAGAGAAUGUACCUUUCCCGUUUUGUCCUGCAAAUUUGUAAAGAUACUCAAUAAUAAAAGCAUUCUGCACGGUGUGUUUAUAUUUACAGUACCAUACGUGUUUUUCUGUGUGUUCAACAGGCGUGCAAAAUUCAGGAAACGUAAGAUAAACAUAUGGGGUAAAAAUAUGCUUUUUUCCCUUAUUUUGUAUGUAUUGCCAGUAGUCUUAUACCCUGAAGAAAACUUAUUUAACUGGUACUGUGACGAGAUAUUGUUUCUAACUUGCUUACAUUUUCUAAAAUGCUGGACAAAAAAAUGCGCAUAUAAAUGCCUUCCUUCAGCUAACUCAAAUAAAUGAGAAAAAAAAAAUCCAAAAUAAAUCCUGUUAAAUGAAGUAAAUGUUCUUCGAUAUCAAAACUAUGCAAAAUGUAACUGUUGAUUUUGUGGAAAAUAACUAUAUGGGCUACAUGCCACCAUUGGAAUUUACUUAUACCAGCAAUAUCUAGUAAAUAACUAGUAAUUAAUAAAUACAUGGCCACAAAAAUUGUGGGUGGGCAGUGGACUAGACCAGUGUAUUCCCCAGUAUUUUAACCCGCUUAAUCUGAACUUCGUCAGAAUUCUCAGAUCAGUUUAUGUUUUGACCCCAACAUCGAGAAAUUUCUCUAGAAAGUAGUAGGAAAAAAUAUUGGAAUUAAGAAUUUCAUCAGCUUUUUCACUGAUUGGAUGACCAGAGCAUGAUUCAUCUUUCACAUAAAAAUUACAAAACGAAAGUGCAGCAGAUUUUGUUAAAGUACCUUCACCGUUUGUCGUAACAGUAUUGCAAAAUAUAGCGCAACUUUUCAUUACUUUUGUCCAAUUUCAAAUGCAACAACUUUCCAACCACUGCAUCAAUUUCGAAGUAAUGCUCGAAGUGUCACCUUUCCAAUGAGCGCUGCGAUUAGUGCGUCAGUUAUAUGCAAUUGAUGCCGUCUAUCGGGAAAAGUGUCAUGAACUUUUUUCCAGAUCUAAUAUAUCCUUUGCGUACUUAGAUUUUGAGUACGAAGAGCAUUGUUUGAUUUCCAUUUUAUAGCAUUCUUUUGGAAUUUUUAAAAAAUUUAUUUGAAGUAGCUUAAUACCUUCAUAAUAAAGUAAAAAAACGAAAGCUAAUAGUAUAAUAUUUUUAAACAGAAAGUGAGUAUAUACUUGACAUCAAAUAUCGUAAACUAAAAAAGGAUUAGGUAAAUUGAUUUAAAAAAUUGGAGGAAUAUUUUAUACAACUUGUAAAAACUAAAAAUUUAAAGGCAUAUAUUAUUGAAUAAGCUCGAGAAAUUUCUAAUUUUAUGAUUAACUAAAAUUUGCAAUCCUACUAUGUGCAAAAAGAACAUCAUAAAAAUUUAUGUAAGUAUUUCCAUAUAAAUAUCAUUGGCAUAGACAGAUAAUUUUAAAUUAUGUAUUACAAAUUACAGAUUAAUAUGGAUCAAUUUUCUGUUACUGUCUAGAUCGCCUGGCUAAGUUACAUUUUGUCGUACAUUUACCACUUUCUGCAUUUUAUUUGAUUACUGAAUAUUCUUGCAGAUUUCCUUAGGUGCAUUUUUUGUUUUUUCAAUAAGGUAUAUUUUUCCAGAUGAUAAUUUGACGUAUUUUGCUGAUGAAUCUAGAAAACAAAUUAUUUGUAAAUAUAAUAAUUAUCUAUGGUAUAUAUUAUUUAUCUUGUGGUUUUAACUUUUUCUGAUUAUGUGGUUUUGAUCUUCCAGGCUAUUUACAGUUUAAUCAAUAACCUACAGAUGAGACAAAUAAGGUUUACUGUCCUGCAGGAGUUCUGCCUUACAGAUUUACCUAAACACCAGUGAACUGAAGCUGGAUUAAUAAGUGGGUCUGAUUAAAGUAGUGUUACAUCAGUUUUAUACAGCUGUGACUAAUGACUGAUGAACAAAUCAUUAUGGAAAUAUUUGUUGCGGGCUAGGUCCUAGACUGACAUCACUAGAAAAAUUCCAGGAAGGUGUAUUUUUUUUCGAUAACAAAUGGGGAAGAUAAUAAAAUCACAGGAGCAAAGAAUUGUUAGAAAGAAAAUAAGAGCCAAUAUGUUUAAAAUAUUUCCAAUAUGUUGAACAUUGAAGCUGGUGAGGAUAUCUGGCUGAAAAAAAGUCCAGAGUCGUCAUCUUUUAUUUAUAUUUACAUGGUUAUUGAAAAUAAAAUCCAUAUAUUUUAUUAACUGAAUACAUUCUUUUUCACAUAAAAAAUAGAUGUAAAAACCACCACAGGAAAUGGCUUCAGAGUAUUUAAUUAAUAUGAGUAUUUUGGAUUACCUACCUUUAGCUUUUCUUUUUCAUUCAGUGUUUACAUAAUUAGAUAUUUUAAUUGAGAUGAUCUAGCAUGAGUUGAAAUUACUGCCGAAUUUAGGUUUCUAUGAGCAAUUGGCUAAAAAAGUCAAAUGAAUCUCUAAAAAAAUGAUUAUCCAUAUUUUUACAGGAAGCGAGGCCCAUUUCAUUUAAUAAGGUCACUUUAAGCACAGUGUAACGGUAAUGCUUGGCCAAACCUUAAUAAUAAAUUAAUAAAAAUAGUUGCUAUAAACAUGUCCAGAAUACAAGUUCUAUAAAAAGAUAUAUUUUAAGAUUGGUAAAACUUAUACAAAGUGUUUCACGAGGAAGUGCAUACAUUUUAAGGAUACUUACUUUCCUCACGUAAACAUAGCCAAAGAAGUUUAUAUGAACCAGAAAUGCAUCAUUUUUGAGAUAUGAGCUUUCAAAUAAAAAACAAUAUUUUUUUAAAUAUUUCAAAUACAAGAACUUAUGAUACUAGUCAUGACUUUCUUGUGAAUUAUUACUUCUGUCACUGUAACUUAAGUUUUUAUGAUGAAACCCUAGCUUGAGGAAACUUGGUGGUCAAAUCUUUAUUUUCCCAUGUAUCUUGACGCGCUGAACACGAAACUGAAGUCAGAUUUGUCCCAUAAGGUCACAAAUCCUUUCUAACCUUAAAAAAAGCUUGAAAAUCCAUAAAAUAAAUUAGCUUCUAUGAUCCGGGUAUGAUUUAAUAGCGACUGAAAAUCGUGAUCUGACCAUUGUAUUCCCUGGUAUUUUGACCUGCUGAAUCCGAAUCCGAUGUCAGAAUCGCUCCAGCAAAUCAUCAGAAUUUUCUAAGGUGAAAAAAUAGUUUAAAAUUGCUAAUAUUCUCGAAUUUUACUGCAAAUAAUGCAAAAAUAUAUUGUUCCCAUGAAUUCAGUGUUAUCCAUAGAGACCUCAACGCCUGAUAUGGAAAUUUCUUGGGGCCCACUUAGAAACGAACAGAAAGGCUUUAAACCUAACAUAGCCUAAAGCAUUCAGUUAUAAUCCUUUCUGUGUUUAAGCAUUUUUUGAUGUUAGAAAAUUCUGGUGAUUUGUGGGGGCAGUUGUGACAUUGGAUUUGAAUUCUGCCGCACAUGAGAAUAAUGUAUUCUGGUCAAGACUUUUUUUGUGGAGCUGUGUUAUUUUUAACGAUAUAUUGGCAGUUUUUUUAAUUUUUGUUAUGAAUUAUAUUAAAAAAAUUGUUAUUGCUUAAAAUAGGAUUUUGCUGUUCUUUAUGAAGACAUUAAUCAGUCGUAAUUAGAUUUGAAGAAAUGGGAUCCCAUAGUAAUUAGAUAUUAAAUUUACUUCAAUUUUUAUAAAACUGUUUAUUAACAUCUCAUUUUUGACUCUUGAUUAAUAUACUAAUAACCACUACUAGUAAUUGCUCAGUUUAACUAAAUAAAUUUUAUUAUUGAAUUCACAAGUAUGCCUGUAUUUCCUGUGUGUGCGAUAUGGUGUUCUAAACGAUGACAAUUACAUUAAUUACAAAGGUUAUUUUUAAAUAAAAAU